rnacentral:rRNA from 1 species
GACGAACGCUGGCGGCGUGCUUAACACAUGCAAGUCGAACGGUGAACCUCUUCGGAGGGGAUCAGUGGCGAACGGGUGAGUAACACGUGGGCAACCUGCCCCCGGCUCUGGGAUAACUCCAAGAAAUUGGGGCUAAUACCGGAUGUUCACCGCUUCCCGCAUGGGUGGUGGUGCAAAGGGUUUCCGGCUGGGGAUGGGCCCGCGGCCUAUCAGCUUGUUGGUGGGGUAGUGGCCUACCAAGGCGACGACGGGUAGCCGGCCUGGGAGGGUGACCGGCCACACUGGGACUGAGACACGGCCCAGACUCCUACGGGAGGCAGCAGUGGGGAAUAUUGCGCAAUGGGCGGAAGCCUGACGCAGCGACGCCGCGUGGGGGAUGACGGCCUUCGGGUUGUAAACCUCUUUCAGCAGGGACGAAGCGCAAGUGACGGUACCUGCAGAAGAAGCACCGGCCAACUACGUG